rfam:Chaetura pelagica isolate M959 contig5305, whole genome shotgun sequence.
AGUAGGGUCAGCUAAUCAAAGCUAUCAGGCUCAUACCCCGAAAAUGAUGGUUUAACCUCUUCCUCUACUA